GACGAACGCUGGCGGCGUGCUUAACACAUGCAAGUCGAACGGAAAGGCUCCAGCUUGCUGGAGUACUCGAGUGGCGAACGGGUGAGUAACACGUGGGUAAUCUGCCCUGCACUCUGGUAUAAGCCUGGGAAACUGGGUCUAAUACUGGAUAUGACCUUUCUCCUUAUGGGGUUUGGUGGAAAGUUUUUCGGUGUAGGAUGAGCCCGCGGCCUAUCAGCUUGUUGGUGGGGUGAUGGCCUACCAAGGCGACGACGGGUAGCCGGCCUGAGAGGGUGAUCGGCCACAUUGGGACUGAGAUACGGCCCAGACUCCUACGGGAGGCAGCAGUGGGGAAUAUUGCACAAUGGGCGGAAGCCUGAUGCAGCGACGCCGCGUGAGGGAUGACGGCCUUCGGGUUGUAAACCUCUUUCAGCAGGGAAGAAGCGUAAGUGACGGUACCUGCAGAAGAAGCACCGGCUAACUAUGUG
rnacentral:rRNA from 1 species